rnacentral:misc_RNA from 1 species
UGCAGACCCUGCCUGAACCAG